CCUACGGGAGGCAGCAGUGGGGAAUCUUGCGCAAUGGGCGAAAGCCUGACGCAGCCAUGCCGCGUGAAUGAUGAAGGUCUUAGGAUUGUAAAAUUCUUUCAGUAGGGACGAUAAUGACGGUACCUACAGAAGAAGCCCCGGCUAACUUCGUGCCAGCAGCCGCGGUAAUACGAAGGGGGCUAGCGUUGCUCGGAAUUACUGGGCGUAAAGGGAGCGUAGGCGGGUUAUCAAGUUGGAGGUGAAAGCCCAGGGCUCAACCUUGGAAUUGCCUUCAAAACUGAUAGCCUAGAGUAUGAUAGAGGUAUGUGGAACUCCGAGUGUAGAGGUGAAAUUCGUAGAUAUUCGGAAGAACACCAGUGGCGAAGGCGACAUACUGGGUCAUGACUGACGCUGAGGCUCGAAAGCGUGGGGAGCAAACAGGAUUAGAUACCCUGGUAGUCCACGCUGUAAACGAUGAUUGCUAGUUGUCGGACGGCAUGCCGUUCGGUGACGCAGCUAACGCAUUAAGCAAUCCGCCUGGGGAUACGGUCGCAAGNUUAAAACUCAAAUGAAUUGACGG
rnacentral:rRNA from 1 species